rnacentral:rRNA from 1 species
AUUGAACGCUGGCGGCAUGCCUUACACAUGCAAGUCGAACGGCAGCACGGGAGCAAUCCUGGUGGCGAGUGGCGAACGGGUGAGUAAUAUAUCGGAACGUGCCCAGUCGUGGGGAUAACGUAGCGAAAGCUACGCUAAUACCGCAUACGAUCUAUGGAUGAAAGCGGGGGAUCGCAAGACCUCGCGCGAUUGGAGCGGCCGAUAUCAGAUUAGGUAGUUGGUGAGGUAAAGGCUCACCAAGCCGACGAUCUGUAGCUGGUCUGAGAGGACGACCAGCCACACUGGGACUGAGACACGGCCCAGACUCCUACGGGAGGCAGCAGUGGGGAAUUUUGGACAAUGGCGCAAGCCUGAUCCAGCAAUGCCGCGUGCAGGAUGAAGGCCU